rnacentral:lncRNA from 1 species
UGGAUAUAUAUAUAUAUAUAUAUAUAUAUAGAAAUAGAGAGAGUAUGCUAUUAGUAAUACAGAGGUCUUUGUAGUAUUAAGUUGUUUUCAAUAAUACGUCUUCCAAAUCGACGAUCGGCACCGGACUUAAUCUACAGUACUGUGGUUAGGAUGAUAGUGGUUUUCUAUACAGUUGAGUAGGUGGUGAAUAGUAUAAUCUAACGGAUUAAAAUGAUCACAGAGGUAGAUUUAAUGGUAGAAAAUUCGAUAACACCAAGCGCUUGCAUGAUACUAUCGAUAGUAUAGUAACCUAACUUUCUCUAUAUAUAUUGUAAUAUAAUAUUUUGAAUUAUUGAAUUUAAAAAUUAAAUAAC